AUACCAAACUGUUGCCUCGGCGGGGUCACGCCCCGGGUGCGUCGCAGCCCCGGAACCAGGCGCCCGCCGGAGGGACCAACCAAACUCUUUUCUGUAGUCCCCUCGCGGACGUUAUUUCUUACAGCUCUGAGCAAAAAUUCAAAAUGAAUCAAAACUUUCAACAACGGAUCUCUUGGUUCUGGCAUCGAUGAAGAACGCAGCGAAAUGCGAUAAGUAAUGUGAAUUGCAGAAUUCAGUGAAUCAUCGAAUCUUUGAACGCACAUUGCGCCCGCCAGUAUUCUGGCGGGCAUGCCUGUCCGAGCGUCAUUUCAACCCUCGAACCCCUCCGGGGGGUCGGCGUUGGGGAUCGGGAACCCCUAAGACGGGAUCCCGGCCCCGAAAUACAGUGGCGGUCUCGCCGCAGCCUCUCCUGCGCAGUAGUUUGCACAACUCGCACCGGGAGCGCGGCGCGUCCACGUCCGUAAAACACCCAACUUCUGAAAUGUUGACCUCGGAUCAGGUAGGAAUACCCGCUGAACUUAAGCAUAUCAAUAA
rnacentral:rRNA from 1 species